rnacentral:rRNA from 1 species
GGGAAUUUUCCGCAAUGGGCGAAAGCCUGACGGAGCAAUACCGCGUGAGGGAUGACGGCCUGUGGGUUGUAAACCUCUUUUCUCAAGGAAGAAGUUCUGACGGUACUUGAGGAAUAAGCAUCGGCUAACUCUGUGCCAGCAGCCGCGGUAAUACAGAGGAUGCAAGCGUUAUCCGGAAUCACUGGGCAUAAAGCGUCUGUAGGUGGUUUGGUAAGUCUGCUGUUAAAGACUGGGGCUCAACCCCAGAAAAGCAGUGGAAACUGCCAGACUUGAGUGUGGUAGAGGUAAAGGGAAUUCCUAGUGUAGCGGUGAAAUGCGUAGAUAUUAGGAAGAACACCAAUGGCGAAGGCACUUUACUGGGCCAUAACUGACACUGAGAGACGACAGCUAGGGGAGCAAAUGGGAUUAGAUACCCCAGUAGUC